GAUGAACGCUAGCUACAGGCUUAACACAUGCAAGUCGAGGGACCGGCGCACGGGUGAGUAACACGUAACCAACCUGCCUUUUACUCGGGGAUAGCCUUUCGAUGGAAAGAAUAAUACCCAAUAUAAAGGAUGGGGAUGCGUUCGAUUAGGUUGUUGGUGCGGUAACGGCUCACCAAGCCUACGAUGGAUAGGGGUACUGAGAGGAAGGUCCCCCACAUUGGAACAGAGACACGGUCCAAACUCGUAGGGGGGGCAGGAGUGAGGAGUAUAGGGCAAGGGGCGCUAGCCUGAACCAGCCCAGUAGCGGAAAAGAUGAAGGGUUAUGGGUCGUAAACUUCUAUAAUAUAAGAAUAUGUAUUAUAUGAAUAAGGAUCGGCUAACUCCGUGCCAGCCGCCGCGGUAAUUC
rnacentral:rRNA from 1 species